rnacentral:rRNA from 1 species
UACGUAGGGAGCAAGCGUUGUCCGGAUUCACUGGGUGUAAAGGGUGCGCAGGCGGGAGAGUAAGUCAGAGGUGAAAUCUCACAGCUUAACUGUGAAACUGCCUUUGAUACUGCUUUUCUUGAGUUUGGGAGAGGUUGAUGGAAUUCCAGGUGUAGCGGUGAAAUGCGUAGAUAUCUGGAAGAACACCAGUGGCGAAGGCGGUCAACUGGCCCGUAACUGACGCUCAGGCACGAAAGCGUGGGUAGCGAACAGG